AAGCUGAUUAGGUGCACGUGGACGGUGACACUCAACGACUGUAACCGCACCGAAGAAUUAAUAAGAGCAGCAGGAGGCCCAAAGGCGGAGAGGGCUAUCGGGGCCGUGGAAUGUAAUGAAUGGCUGAGAAACUAGAGAUAGACCAGAGAGGAUUGGGAGGCCAGGCGGGGACCCUCUUUUAAUAUAUGAAGAGGUCCUCGGAUCCCGUCUAGCCUUUCUUUCGCCUUCUCAAGCAGCCAAGUCAGAAACCAGAAACCACGACACAGGUAGCCCCUGGGCCAUCUGACUCCUCGUCACAUGCGUUUCCCUUUGUGCCUUUCGGAUCCUCCACGCCCUGGAGUAAGAGGUGACUGCUCAGUAAAGCUGUUGGAGAAGAGGGAUGAUCGUGAUCAGGGCUGGGAUGCUGAUGUCCAGCGUUUAAAAACAACUUCCUUGGGAAGAGGAACAGUCUGGAGAGCCCACUGAGGAAGGGCACGGAGCCGUAAACUCCAGGAGUGUCCUCAUCUAAACAAAACAAAGCAAAAAAACAAACAACCGAGAAACUGGCUGAGUGGAAUAAUAAUAAUAAUUCUGGGGCCACUGUUGCUUCUAGAAGAAGAAAGAGCUUUCAGGUUUUGGAGUCCAGCAGUUUGUGGCAGGACAUCCUUUGGAGAAGCCUCUUGGCUGAGCGCUGGUUGUCCUGUCCUUAGCCUUACCUGUUUGGGAGCCUUGUAGGGACCGAUGAUCGGAUCCAGGGGACCUGAUGGCCUUUUCUGACCUCUGAAGAUACCUGGC